CGAGCUGAGUUCAUGUUCACUCCUAAAGAGAACGGAUAGGUCCGGUUGGAAUUUUAUUCAAGGUAUAUGAUAAAAACAACCUAAAGAUUGAUUCUAUACAUCGUUUGACAUGUUUCUACAAACUGUAGUAUAACUUUUUUGACUUUUCGUCUGGACUAUGUAAGCACACACGUAGUGGAUUUGGAUAGUGAACAUAACGCGCAAACAAAAUGGAUUAUUUGGAAAUAAAUAUGAACUUUAUCGAACAUUUAUUGUGGAGCUGGGAAUCCUGGGAGUGCCUUCUGAUGAAGCUAAUCAAAGGUUCAAAUUUCAUCAUCUUUUAGAAGACAAAUGCUGUUGCUUGUAGGCAGCGUUUCAAGACUGGUAAAACCACAGAGAUGAGUUGGGGGACUUGUUGACCGGGAUCAUUGAUAGCCAGCAACCCCUGGAAGAUGAUCACCAUAGCUUGGAAGGGAUGAAGGUCAGCCCACUACAUCUGCAGCAGCCAGGAGGGAAGAUUAUGUCACUAACCAGGGCCAGAGGACAAAGACAAGGCUGAGCAUGCAUGAGAAAACUGGCCAUGGAAUUUCAUGAGCGUAGUCUAAUCUAUUUAAAAGAAGAGCAUGAAAUGAAGAGGCAAAUCCUUCAUGUUGAGUAGGCUAUGGCGUGAAGCAGCAGCAGGAGCAGUACCAAUGUUUUUCAAUGUACCGAUGUUCUUCAAGAACCAGCACCAGUUCGGGG
rnacentral:lncRNA from 1 species